UUUUAUUUAAUGUAAAAAUUAGGAAAAAAUAGGUGGAGGAUGAAAUUGAAAAUAAUUUUGGGAAAAUGGGGGGAAAAUUUGGGUUCGGGGAGUAUUUUUAAAAGAAAAAUCAGAAACUGGAGGGUCAAAAUGCAAUAUAGGAAAAAUAUGCCACGUCGGACCACCCAGUCAGCAGCCCCGACAAACUAGAGCGUGCUGCGUGGCAAGGCUUGCUGACUCG
rnacentral:lncRNA from 1 species